AUGCGCGAAAGCGUGACGGGGGCAAUCCGAGUGAUUCUCUUAGGAGAGUCUUUUGCUUAGUUCGAAUAACUAGGCGAAUAAGUGGUGGGUAAAUCCUGUGCCAGCCGCCGCGGUAAUACAGGUAGCACGAGUGGUGUCCACGUAUAUUGAGUCUAAAGCGUCCGUAGCCGGAUUGGCAAAUCUUCUGUGAAAUCCUACAGCUUAACUGAAGGACUUGCAGGAGAGACUACCAGUCUAGGAAGUGGAGGAGGUACUGGGUACUACAGGGGGAACGGUAAAAUGUUGUAAUCCUUGUAGGACCACCAGUGGCGAAAGCGCAGUACCAAGACACGUUCGACGGUGAGGGACGAAGGCUAGGGGAGCAAACCGGAUUAGAUACCCCUGUAGUCC
rnacentral:rRNA from 1 species